CUUGCUCCCUGAUGUUAGCGGCGGACGGGUGAGUAACACGUGGGUAACCUGCCUGUAAGACUGGGAUAACUCCGGGAAACCGGGGCUAAUACCGGAUGGUUGUCUGAACCGCAUGGUUCAGACAUAAAAGGUGGCUUCGGCUACCACUUACAGAUGGACCCGCGGCGCAUUAGCUAGUUGGUGAGGUAACGGCUCACCAAGGCGACGAUGCGUAGCCGACCUGAGAGGGUGAUCGGCCACACUGGGACUGAGACACGGCCCAGACUCCUACGGGAGGCAGCAGUAGGGAAUCUUCCGCAAUGGACGAAAGUCUGACGGAGCAACGCCGCGUGAGUGAUGAAGGUUUUCGGAUCGUAAAGCUCUGUUGUUAGGGAAGACAAGUGCCGUUCAAUAGGGCGGCACCUUGACGGUACCUAACCAGAAAGCCACGGCUAACUACGUGCCAGCAGCCGCGGUAAUAC
rnacentral:rRNA from 1 species